rnacentral:misc_RNA from 1 species
AACUGAUACUACCUGCGGGAACCUGCGGAGGGAUCAUUACCGAGUUUACAACUCCCAAACCCCAUGUGAACAUACCUGUUUCGUUCCCUCGGCGGUGUCCGGCAACGGCCCGCCAGAGGACCCAACAAACUCUUUUGAAUUUUUCAGUAUCUUCUGAGUGAAAAAAACAAUAAAUCAAAACUUUCAGCAACGGAUCUCU